UCAACUUGCAACUAUGCACCAGCUCCUAAAAAAAAAAAAAAAAAAAAAAAAAAAA
rnacentral:ribozyme from 1 species